rnacentral:rRNA from 1 species
GACGAACGCUGGCGGUAUGCUUAACACAUGCAAGUCGAACGAGAAGCUUUUUAAUGAUCCUUCGGGUGAACUAAGAAGUGGAAAGUGGCGAACGGGUGAGUAACGCGUGGGUAACCUGCCUCAUGGAAAGGAAUAGCCUCGGGAAACUGGGAGUAAAGCCUUAUAUUAUUGAGUUGUCGCAUGGCAAUUCGAUGAAAACUCCGGUGCCAUGAGAUGGACCCGCGUCCCAUUAGCUAGUUGGUGAGAUAACAGCCCACCAAGGCAACGAUGGGUAACCGGUCUGAGAGGGCGAACGGUCACACUGGAACUGAGACACGGUCCAGACUCCUACGGGAGGCAGCAGUGGGGAAUAUUGCGCAAUGGGGGAAACCCUGACGCAGCAAUACCGCGUGAGUGAAGAAGGUUUUCGGAUCGUAAAACUCUUUUAUUGGGGAAGAAGAAGUGACGGUACCCAAUGAAGAAGUCCCGGCUAACUACGUGCCAGCAGCCGCCGCGGUAA